CUUGUGGACUGUCUUCUUCUUCUGCUCCUAAUGUUACUUCCUGCUCAGCUGCGGGAGUCCCAGUGUCGUCGUCUCUAAUAAUUCAAGAUGCCAUGUCUUCGAGUGAUGAACCAGCAGAAGGAUCAGCGCGAAGCCCUUCAUCAGAGGAAUCUACUUUGAGCUAUCUUGGAAGCCAAGACGAUGAAGAUGGAGCUUCCAGCAUUAUCAAGCACUCUACUCUUAAUUUCAUAUUAUUAGGCUUGGCCGCUUCUAUCAUCUUCAUAUUGUUAUGAUUUUUCAACAUUAUUAUUAAUUGUUAUGUUCUUUACUAAUGUCAUUUUUGAAUUCA